AGCGAACGCUGGCGGCAGGCUUAACACAUGCAAGUCGAACGGGCCUCUUCGGAUGUCAGUGGCAGACGGGUGAGUAACACGUGGGAACGUACCCUUCGGUUCGGAAUAACUCAGGGAAACUUGAGCUAAUACCGGAUACGCCCUUUUGGGGAAAGGUUUACUGCCGAAGGAUCGGCCCGCGUCUGAUUAGCUUGUUGGUGGGGUAACGGCCUACCAAGGCGACGAUCAGUAGCUGGUCUGAGAGGAUGAUCAGCCACACUGGGACUGAGACACGGCCCAGACUCCUACGGGAGGCAGCAGUGGGGAAUAUUGGACAAUGGGCGCAAGCCUGAUCCAGCCAUGCCGCGUGAGUGAUGAAGGCCUUAGGGUUGUAAAGCUCUUUUGUCCGGGACGAUAAUGACGGUACCGGAAGAAUAAGCCCCGGCUAACUUCGUG
rnacentral:rRNA from 1 species